rnacentral:rRNA from 1 species
UGGGGAAUCUUGGACAAUGGGCGCAAGCCUGAUCCAGCCAUGCCGCGUGAGCGAUGAAGGCCUUAGGGUUGUAAAGCUCUUUCACCGGUGAAGAUAAUGACGGUAGCCGGAGAAGAAGCCCCGGCUAACUCCGUGCCAGCAGCCGCGGUAAUACGGAGGGGGCUAGCGUUGUUCGGAAUUACUGGGCGUAAAGCGCGCGUAGGCGGACUGAUCAGUCAGGGGUGAAAUCCCGGGGCUCAACCCCGGAACUGCCUUUGAUACUGUCAGUCUUGAGUCCGGAAGAGGCGAGUGGAAUACCGAGUGUAGAGGUGAAAUUCGUAGAUAUUUGGAGGAACACCAGUGGCGAAGGCGGCUCACUGGCUCGAUACUGACGCUGAGGUGCGAAAGUGUGGGGAGCAAACAGGAUUAGAUACCUGGUAGUCCACACCGUAACGAUGAAUGCCAGUCGUCGGGUAGCAUGCUAUUCGGUGACACACCUAACGGAUUAAGCAUUCCGCC